rnacentral:rRNA from 1 species
UACGUAGGUGACCAGCGUUGUCCGGAUUUACUGGGCGUAAAGAGCGCGCAGGCGGUCGUUCAAGUCGAGUGUGAAAGCCCCCGGCUCAACUGGGGAGGGUCAUUCGAUACUGAUCGACUCGAAGGCAGGAGAGGGAAGUGGAAUUCCCGGUGUAGUGGUGAAAUGCGUAGAUAUCGGAAGGAACACCAGUGGCGAAGGCGACUUCCUGGCCUGUUCUUGACGCUGAGGCGCGAAAGCUAGGGGAGCAAACGGG